AUUGAACGCUGGCGGCAUGCUUUACACAUGCAAGUCGAACGGCAGCGCGGGCUUCGGCCUGGCGGCGAGUGGCGAACGGGUGAGUAAUGCAUCGGAACGUGCCCAGUAGUGGGGGAUAGCCCGGCGAAAGCCGGAUUAAUACCGCAUACGACCUGAGGGUGAAAGCGGGGGACCGAAAGGCCUCGCGCUAUUGGAGCGGCCGAUGUCGGAUUAGCUAGUUGGUGGGGUAAAGGCUUACCAAGGCGACGAUCCGUAGCUGGUCUGAGAGGACGACCAGCCACCCGGGGACUGAGACACGCCCCCGCCCCCCACGGGGGGCAGAAGGGGGAAAUUUUGGAAAAUGGGGGCAACCCUGUCCCACCCAUGCCGGGCGCGGGAAGAAGGCCUGCGGGUUGUAAACCGCUUUUUUUCGGGAAGAAAUCCUUUGGGCUAAUACCCCGGGGGGAUGCCGGUACCGGAAAAAAAAGCACCGGCUAACUACGU
rnacentral:rRNA from 1 species